GCGUGAGUGGCGAAAUUGGUAGACGCACCAGGUUUAGGUCCUGACGGGAGAAAUCCUGUGUCGGUUCGAGUCCGACCUCACGCACCA
rnacentral:tRNA from 2 species